GGGCCCGCACAAGCGGUGGAGCAUGUGGUUUAAUUCGAUGAUACGCGAGGAACCUUACCAGGGCUUAAAUGUAGUGGGACAGGUCUAGAGAUAGACCUUUCUUCGGACUCAUUACAAGGUGCUGCAUGGUUGUCGUCAGCUCGUGCCGUGAGGUGUCAGGUUAAGUCCUAUAACGAGCGCAACCCCUAUCGUUAGUUGCCAGCGGGUAAUGCCGGGAACUCUAGCGAAACUGCCCGUGAUAAGCGGGAGGAAGGUGUGGAUGACGUCAAGUCCUCAUGGCCCUUACGGGUUGGGCUACACACGUGCUACAAUGGCAUCUACAGUGGGUUAAUCCCCAAAAUGAUGUCU
rnacentral:rRNA from 1 species